rnacentral:tRNA from 1 species
GGAAGUAUAGCGCAGUGAUAGAGUUUGUGCUUACCAAGCACAAGGCCCUGGGUUCAAUCCCCAGCGCUACAA